rnacentral:rRNA from 1 species
UGGGGAAUAUUGCACAAUGGAGGGAACUCUGAUGCAGCGACGCCGCGUGAACGAAGAAGGCUUUCGAGUCGUAAAGUUCUUUUAUAUGGGAAGAUAAUGACGGUACCAUAAGAAAAAGCCCCGGCUAACUACGUGCCAGCAGCCGCGGUAAUACGUAGGGGGCGAGCGUUGUACGGAAUCACUGGGCGUAAAGGGUUCGCAGGCGGAAAUGCAAGUCAGGUGUAAAAGGCAGUAGCUUAACUACUGUAAGCAUUUGAAACUGCAUAUCUUGAGAAUGGUAGAGGUAAGUGGAAUUUUUAGUGUAGCGGUGAAAUGCGUAGAUAUUAAAAAGAAUACCGGUGGCGAAGGCGACUUACUGGGCUCAUUCUGACGCUGAGUAACGAAAGCGUGGGUAGCAAACAGG